UAUAAGCUUGAUGAACCCCAUCCAGUAGUUUUAAGUAUUCUUGCGACCUGCCACUAUUUCAUUGGAGAUCUGGUGAUCUGGUCUUUAAUCUGGCUCAAAUUCGCAUUGGCUUCAUCGAAAUUGCGCAGCUGCAACCGCAUAGUUGCUGUAAGGUGGCCAGAGUCACCAUGCAAGUGAGGAAUUCGACUUCGCCAGGACAUACUAUCAGGAUUCGGUAAGUUUCGCACUUGAAAGCUUCCACGAGGCUAAAGAGACGAAAAUUCGGCGGCUAUGAAGUUGUAGUGCCCUACAAGUCCAUUAUCGCCGAAUAUCUGAGCUAUUAUGACUGCCUGAUAUCCAGCUCACAGACAACAAUAACAUUGCAGCCAGGACCUAUUUGGGAAGCUGAAGCUUACCAAAAAGUCCUUCUCUAUCUUCGAUGUGAUCCUGGGUAGCUCGGGAAGUACGCCCAGAUGGCUUCAUCUAAGAACAAGACAGAAAAGCGCGACAUCAGGAAAAUGCCUUGAACUCAAGGAUUCUCCAGCGCAGUCCUGAGCAGUUGCAUCGAUCUGGCCUUGAUCAUUAAUGAGGAAGCCAAGCAAAUCCCAGCCCAUCCAAAACCCGAAUGGGAUGAGCCCAAGACCCCAAUGUUUCAAGACUAGACUGCCAGACUACUUUGAGGCCAUGUCCUUAUCCAUUACCCCGUCCCUCAAGUGGAUUUGGUCCAGCCCUAUUUGGGACAGAACUUAGCCUUCAGGUGCGGAACUCACUGGAUUCUGAUAGCAUGUCUUGGCGAAGUCGAAUUCAACACUUCCAUGGUGACUCUGGCCACCUUAUAACAACUGUGCGAUUUCAGCUGCGCAGUUUCGAUGAAGCCAAUGCGAAUUUGAGCCAAAUUUAAGACCAGUUGGUAAUCUCCAAUGAAAUGGUAGUAGGUCGCAAGAAUACUUAAGACUACUGGAUGGCAUUCAUCAACCUUAUAGGCCGCAUUGAGGGGACUUAAACCAUCCCUAUAAAGUCUUGGG